rnacentral:lncRNA from 1 species
CGCCAGGGUCAGGUCCACCUGGGUUCCAACGCCAGCACCACCACUACAAACCCUGCCUGUGGGCAAGUCAGUUACAUUCGCUGAGCUCCCAGUUCCUCAUUUCAAAAUGGGAAUUACAUACCUCUCAACAACUCGGUUUUUGUGCCACUGGCACACACCGGAGCUGCUGGGAAUCUGUGUGGACCGCUGCCAACGAGACCCGGACUGUGGGACUGGACAGCAGUGUAUCAUGGUGGGAUGUCGUCGAACCUGCGCUCCAGCCCUGGGACCAGGUGUCUGUGUGGAAGAAUGCCAAAGUCACCGAGACUGUGCUGUAGGACGUCUAUGUGUCAGCAAUGGAUGUGGCCGUGUCUGCCGGCCAGCCCAAGACCAAGGUCCCACUCCCUCUACAGAGCCAGCCCAGUUCUGAAAAGACUGUUUUUCAGAUGGAUCAAGACCCAGAACUUGUCCAAGGUUGCCUCCAGGAACUAAUGGACUUUGUGAUGAAAUGUGUAGAGGAGAUGAAGCUUGUCCCAGGGGACAGAAAUGCUGCAGCCAUGGUGGUGGUGGCCACACCUGCCAAAUCGCUAUUCAAGACAUCAGUAUAAGAUAGAGAGCUGUUUACCGGAAGCAUGGGUCUCUGCUGAUCUUUACAGCACAGAAGGGAACCCAUCCGCCCCUCUGCUCACUGAAGUCUGGGUGGCAUGUGGAGAAAGCUGGUUGGUAGCAAAGAGCAGGAAUUUCUGGAAAGUGUCGUGAAUAUCUUGGUGUUGUAGGAGGAAGAUUUCCUUAUCCGUUUGGAUGAUUAAUCAACCUUAGCCUCCUUCAGUGACCAUUCCCAAAUGUCACCUUUAUGCCGGUACCUGGUGUUGGGCUUUCUACUAUCUUUUCCUGGCUACUUUCUAUUCCUGGAACCCCAGUACCAUAUGAUUAGGAUCUGUAAUAACUUUGGCAUCAGUGUUCAGUUCUGGCAAUUACUACAGAAAUCAUGGGGUGAAUGCUUCCAAAAUAAUCCUUCUUCUGAAUAAAAUUAUUUCUGUGGCAUUAGCCAACCUGAAUCAUCAUUUCUGUGUAAGACUUCAGCUAAUUUACAUUAGUACCUCCACCCCCAACAAGUAUUUAACCCCAACCAGUGGAACCUGUCUCUGUUUCUUUAUCCCUCAGCCCUCAUAUCAUCUCUGUCACCCUUAUCCUUACUCCUUGUAGGAGAUAUUUAUAGUGACAAUAACAAUGUAUAACAAG